CAUAAUCAUCCCCAGUCUCCGACACACUCCCCCCAUGUAGCUCCUAUAUGGAGAUACAUGUUAUGAAGGAGACUUUUAUGAAACAUAACAAUGAAUAUAGAAAAUGUCAAUAGUAAAAUAGUCAAAGUUGCCCUUAAUUUUUAAAGUUGUUUCUGUUCAUACUCUGCAAUCUUCCGAAUUCGCUCAUCAGCUUCUUCAGCAGCUUUUCGCUUCGGUCGGAAAACCUUAACAUCUGGAUUCCUGGGUUCCAUAGGUUCUUCUUGCAGAUGAUCAAGAACUUGGCUCGCUUUCGCAGGGAUUUCUCUUCUUCUCGCCAUGGCUCUUGUUCGGGUAGUUGGUUCGACCUUUGGAACAGGAAGGUAGAUGGGGUAAGGGUUUGGAGCUCAACAUCAUCUUCCACGUAGCUCAGAGGGCGUCUAUUAAUUUGGGUCUCGAUAUCUAACAUGACUUCGCU